GUGGGCUCCGGCCAUCGCCAUCGCUGGCCCCCGAGGGGCCGCCCGGGGGAAGGGGAGCGGGGCCCCCACCUCCGUUCUUCCCGCCCUGCCUGCCGGGAGCGGUGUGGGGCCGAGAGGGCAGCCCGGCCCCGGCCUCUUCCCCCUGAGCGCGGUUCAGCGGAACUCCUCGUUUUCGACGCCGGGAGGCUGUGAAAUGAGGUGUGUGGCUUGCCCUGGAUGCGUGGAAGCACGGGGGCAAGCUGAGCAGGAGCUUUGAGGAGAAAAGAUGUCCGUCCGCACAUUUCACCCCUUCCCUGAGACGUCCACACGUGGGCAUUGCAGAUCGUUAGGAGCAGAAACUGCAUCUCCCUUUCUUUCAUGCCUUUGGUACCCUCAAUAAAUACGCUAUGUCCCUGUCUGUGUGUUUGGGAGGGAGGGGGGAACACUGGGUAGUGAUUUUCCAUAAGAUGCUCAAAACAUCUUCAAGCCUGAAGCUCCCUUGAAGCUUACCCUGUUUGUGGAGCCUUCUCCAAGCGCUGCUUACAGCCACGCACAAGCCCUGGCCCCUCCCUGUUCCAAUGAGGCUGGAAAUGGGGUUAAAUGGGUCAGUUAUGCACACUUGUAAAGUGCUUCUGGUGUGGACACGGUUCAUCUUACAAACAUCAUUUUUGUGAGGGUAAGUUGUUCUGUUUCUCCUUCAGCCCCCACAACAGGAAGUAAACGCUCAAAAAGUAGAGUAGUUCAUAUCAACUGGAUCAAUACCAGGAGAUUUGGGGUGUAUAGGUACUCAGUUGGAGUACACAAGCUAAAAGGCUGAGAUAAGCCUGUGCAGACAUUGUUCAAAUGGGAAGAGGAGGAAUGGAUGAGAAUGGGAAACACAAAGGAGAGAGGUAGAAAAUAUGCAAGAGAGUGUGAGAAAACAAAAAGGAGUGUACAUAUAAGGCAUAGGAACAUGCAUUGGUUAGAAAUACCUAUAUAAAACUGAAUCAGGUCCAAUGGAUACUCAUCUGAUAUUUCCCCCGGGAAAUCACAUGGUCCUUAAGCAGUCCUUCUACUAAUGUAUAUAGUGCUCAAUAAAAACACAUCCGCAAGAGGUUCCUAGUAGCCUAAAAGCAGGACUGGAGAAACCACAAAAUCCACAAGCACAUUAAGUGAUCAGUGUUUGCAUGGGAUUUUCCAGUUAUUUAAAGGAAGCAUUAAAAAGAAAAAAGGAUUUUCAAACUGCAGUAGUUAAAAAAAUUAAUUUAUAUAUAUUAGUGGGAAUAGGAAGGAAAAAAAGCAUCAUAAUAAACAUUUUUGAAAUGUUGUAAACUACGCUAAUUUUUUAUAUUAAGGGAAAAAUGGGGGAUGCUUCAUGAAGUUGAAAGUCUGUAAUUUCCUUUUAAUUAAAAUGAAAAGAAGAAUUCCAUGAUACACAAUUACCACAUGAAAAUUAUUCCCAGGUGUUAUCACUUGGCCCAAGACCUUUGCAAAACUUGAAAAGCCAUUGGCCACAAAUUAAUAAUGUGAGCAUCUGUCGUUGUCUCACCCGCUGAUUUUAAAAAAUUGUCUAUAAGUACUUAUGGCAAGUGACUGAAAGAAUUGAAGAAUUUUCAGUAGGCAAAUUAUGAUAUAGCUUUCCUUUUCGUGCUCUUGCACCUUCUGAGUCACCUGCAAGUGGUUAGGUUAUUCCGACAGCAGCAGCAGUAGCCUGACACAUUACAGCAAUGCUGCAUUUGUGUGUUCCUGACCCUGAACAUCUGUGCUUCGUAACUGGAAGGUAUUUAAUUAAAUUUUGAAACUGUAUUCUUCUCCAUCUGUCUUUAAGUCUCUAAAGACCCAUUUAUACAUUGAAACAGUAUCUUAAAGACACAAGGAAUUACAUGAAUGACCCUGAACCCACUGCAGUUGCAGAGCACCGACAAGAGCAAAAACACUUUCAGGCAUUUUACAGAAAAUUUGUUUGUGAUUUUGAUUCAACAUUUCUACUUUCCACUCUAAACUCCCAAUCACUGAUUGCAUAAUUAGUACUCUCAGUAACUGAGUCAGUCCAUAUUUAAAAACAAACAAGCCUGUAAAUCACAUACCAUUUUUCCCUGUGUUGAAAUGCUAUUGCACUUGUUAGACUGUCUCCUUGUGUUUCUCUGGGUUUAAAAGAGGUGAGCCUGGUAAGGAGCAACAUCCAGAAGAAUAGUUUAUUCCCCAAGGAACCAUAACCAGCUACUCCUGCAAGCAGAGGUGAUCCACUGAGUAUCAACAAACUUCAGGUACUUAAGAUAUUUCACUUUGAUUCCAUUGUCUUUUGCAGAACAAAUUACAAGGUAUACUUUCAUGUUGCUGGCCAAGUAGUGUGGCAAGAAGGAAUGUUUUGUGUAGCUGGCCUCUCUUUUCACCUCCUGAUCUAAAAUGCUUCUCCUGACCUCAGAAAAGCUCCUCCAUCCAUUCCCCAGCCAUCCUGGAUGACUAAACAUUUUUCCUUCAAAAUAUUUUAAAAUAAAUACUCUGGCCUUCUCUUUCUGUUCUACCAUGACCUCACUGGUAGUGCCAGAAGCUUUGUGGCAGUCCUUCAUGCUGACAUUCAUGUCAGUGAUCUAAGCAUUUCAGAAUACAGCUCUACAAAAAAAGACCGACUCGUACAAUGUCAGUCCUGGGCUGGCUUUUACCACCAUGAUACCCGGAGGACAUUACUCUUCUAGAUAAUAUGCUCAAGGAUAGCUGAGCGCCAUGGUAACAGAGCCAGUGAAUAUGCAACAAUCUGUUAUUUUGUUAGAUAAAACAUCACUGUCAAGUCUUAUUUUUGGGUCAUUAAGAAGGAAUUAAAUUUUAUUUGUGUGUAGUAAUAUGGAUGAAUGUUUACCCAUGGUCCUGAGACUCGUUUCCCAAACCAGUUUAAUUUAACUCUUAUCAGUCUGGUGUCAUGCAGUGCAUACUUUCCCCAGUGUUACUGCCUGAAUGUGGCAGUGCUGGGUUACAGAGGGGAAUUCAAGGAGCUGUUAGCCUCCCCCAUUUCCCAGCUGGGUUGCACAGCUGUGUUUCUGUGUGCCAGGUUGUGCAAUGAAGGGCCUUGUAUGUGACUGUGCAGCUCCCAAAUCCAAACUGGGCUCCCUUCCAUGCACGGUGUGUAGCACUCACGUUUUGUUAGUCAACGUGUCGGAAGAGCUGUUCUCACCUAACUCUCCCCUUUAUAGAAGAAAAAGUCUGCACAUUAAUUUUGGCAGUGGAAAAGCAGAGGGAAGGUUGAUGGCAGCUUUUUUUUCCCCUCUUGGGUGAAUAGAGCCUCGUGGAUAACAAAUGAAGACAGCUAUAGACCGAAAAAAAACAUUGAAAAUUAUCAUAUUUUUAUCAUCUGUUCUCCAGUUCCAAACCCUGCAGCAACAGCUUGUGAGGUUAGAUUGGGUCUUAUCUAGGGAAAUAAAAGAUUGAGUAAGUAAGUGAAAGAGUUGGCUGCAUGCAGUUAAAGGAGUAUGGAUUUUUAAGAUUUUUGUUUUCUAUGGACAUGAGUUGCUUUUCUGCUUGGUGUCCUGGAAUGAAAGAAGGGUCAUGGCCCAUGUGGUCUCUAUGCAUGUGCCUCUGCCUUAUGUGUUUAAAGGGGUUUUGGAAGAAGACAAGAGCUCCAGGCACAAUCUCCACAGCCCCUUAGCCUGUCACAUGGUUCUUUGUGAUCCCUCCUCCAUCACAUGUGGUACCAGGGAAAAAAGACAGCAAAGGCUGAGCACUAACUCCCACAGCUGUCCUCCAAGUGAAGGGCUUGCAAAGCUAUUAGUGGCUUUUAACUUAAGCUUUGUACCCUCCUAGACCAUCAUCAGGAGAGGUGUCAAGAGAGUUUGGAGGAUUUUAGUGUUACUGCCUUUCAGUGGUGCCUCCCACAAGCCAAAAUUCAGUGUAAAAGUAGCAAGCAAAUCCAGGUGACUUGCAGAUAUGACUUUUGGGAGGUAACUUGGCACAAAAGUGACUGGGUUAGAGCAUCAGGGAAAAGUCCACCUGGAAUGGUGCUUCGGUCAACAGCAGGACUGUUGUCACUGCUCUAAGCAGAGAAGCUGCCUGCAAGUCCUAACUUCCAGGUCUCAUGGUGAACACCAUGCUCCUGGCUCUCAGUGACUUUGUAGGGAUGUGUGCAUGCAUGGUCACAGCCAAUUGCAAGAUAACCCAUGACUGAGGUGGAAAAGCAAGUCGGAUGCUGGAUGCUUUCCUCGUGUUGUGUAGCACCUCAGUAGUGCUCUGUUCAUCAUUCUGUCUCACAACUGGAACAGAGUCCAGGGAAACUGAAGAAGCAGUGAGUGAAUGGAAGCAGUCUCAAAUUGCCCAUGUUGCUGAUCUCCUUUGGGAGCUCACGGGGAAGUCCUGGUAACUCAGGUCAGACACACAGUGGUGUCAACAAAGAGGUUUCGGGGAGGUCUGGCAAGAAGCAGAGUUGAGGGAGGGCACAGAGUGUAAGAAUAGACAACUCCUAACUGUACCUGUGCAUCCGCAAAAAUCUCUCAGCUGCUGGGGCAGAGAGAGAAUAUGGGGGAGGGAACACUGACUCCAUCAAGAUAAAGGGCUCUGGUGCUCUCUAAGGCCAUCCAAACAGAGGUGAACAUACCAAACUUUUUUGUUCAUCCCCAGGGAAUACUGCAUUGCCAACAUGGGUUAUAGAAACUAAUCGUUAUCAGCCUGUUAGAGUUUUCACAACUCAUUUCCUUUGAAUAUUAGUUAUUUCUUUUGCCAAAGAGAGGCAAAAAAGGGGAGGAGGAGGAAAUAAAAACUAAAUGGGCUAGUUCAUUUAGUUUAUAAAAUCAAGUCAAUAAGCAGAUGGGUGAACUCUGCAGAUGGCAUUGCUUCAGUCAAGACAGAAAAUGUAGUGCUUUCCCUGCAUGUGUUUUUUUGCAAGAUUUCUUUGGAACAAGGAAAUGUAUGCAAAUAAUGGGACCAAUCUGCAAAUGCUCAUCCAGCUAAGCAGCCAUGAACUCUCACUGACUGUGGGUACUUGUAACAAUAAAGACUCCAGGCUGGGGAGCCUGCUUCAUAUUCUACCCUUGCUUCA